UACGUAGGGUGCGAGCGUUAAUCGGAAUUACUGGGCGUAAAGCGUGCGCAGGCGGUUUGUUAAGACAGGUGUGAAAUCCCCGGGCUUAACCUGGGAAUGGCGCUUGUUACUGGCAAGCUAGAGUGUGUCAGAGGGAGGUAGAAUUCCACGUGUAGCAGUGAAAUGCGUAGAGAUGUGGAGGAAUACCGAGUGGCGAAGGCA
rnacentral:rRNA from 1 species